UCUCUCUCUCUCCUCAUUCUACCUUCUAACCCUAGGGCCUUCACAGUAGACCCUCUCUCUCUCUCUCCACUGUAGAUAUUUUGUGGGUCUAGUAUUGCGUGUGUUGUGGGAGUUCUUGGAGUUCUGAGUUGCCGAUCACUGCAGUAGCCUGUCUAACACCACGCACAUCCUGCCGUUAGUUUGGAAAAAUAGUUUGUAAAAUGGACGGCGAGUGCUUUUGAUUUAGAAGGCUUUGACCGAGCCUAAGAGAAUUUUUUUGGUGAGCCAUUUUAGUCAGGGGUGAGCCGAAACUUGCAUAGUUGGGUAUUGAAGUAUGGGAUAGCAUAGAUGUACAUGGUCAUGAAGAUGCAGCAAAAGAACACAACUAGUACUGAAGGGAUUGAAGUAUUAGAGAGCAAAACCUUUGAAGAUAAUGUGCAUGGAACGGGUCAAUACACUUCUAAAGCUUAUCAUCUGCAAAGGGCAAGUUUAAAGUUCCUGAUGACAAAUUGGAUGUAUUCAAAAAUUGGAUACUAAAGGACUUGGGGAAGAAAUGGAAAUACUACAAGCAUUAGUUGAAAAAAAAGUUACUUAAUGAAAAAGACACAUCUGCAUCACAAGUUGUGGUAAGGGCAAGUCCUGAUAUGGUGGACUUAGAGCAACUGGCAGAGUUGGCCAAUCUUUGGUUUGAUCCAGAAUAUAUGAAAAAUCAAUUGAGGCAUUGCCAAGUUGAGCCUAGUUGUUUGUCAAGACCCAUAAGAAAAAGGAUGGCACAUGCUACAAUGAUGAAACGAGAAAGAAAGUGGUUGAGAUGGAGGAACUUUUAACAUAGUACACAAAUCCUAUAGAAAUGGGAUCUGGAGGUACCAUGACUUGGAAAUCAGAUGAUGUUUAUUCGAAAGUUAUGGGCCUAGAACAGCCUGGACGUGUGCGCGGUUUGGGGUUGGGGCCAACCCCUACAAGGCAAACUUGUCAACAUUCAAUACCAACUUCAAACCAAGAAGAUGGUAUAUCAAAGGAAGAGUUUGAUAAAAUGCGGAACUUAGUAAACACAUUCGUGCAUGCACA